GCCUGCAGUCAUGUCAACCAUGCCAUGUGCUUGUUCCCAUCAGAUCUUUCGAGCUAAGCAGGAUUGGACUGUGUCAGUCCUUUGAUGGAAGACCUCCAAGAAAGACUUAGAUGCUGUAGGAA
rnacentral:rRNA from 1 species